AGAUUGAACGCUAGCGGGAUGCUUUACACAUGCAAGUCGAACGGCAGCGCGGACUUCGGUCUGGCGGCGAGUGGCGAACGGGUGAGUAAUAUAUCGGAACGUGCCCAGUAGCGGGGGAUAACUACGCGAAAGCGUGGCUAAUACCGCAUACGACCUACGGGUGAAAGCGGAGGACCUUCGGGCUUCGCGCAGAAAGAUGAGCCGACGUCGGAUUAGCUAGGUUGGAGGGUAAUGGCCCACCAAGGCGACGAUCCGUAGCUGGUCUGAGAGGAUGAUCAGCCACACUGGGACUGAGACACGGCCCAGACCUCCGUACGGGAGGCAGCGAGGUGGGAAUAGUUGGAACAAGUGGGCGCAAGCCUGACUCCAGCCAUCGCGCGUGUGAGAAGAACGGUCCGUUGGUAGUAAGCUACGUUUGGUAACGG
rnacentral:rRNA from 1 species